UACGAAGGGUGCUAGCGUUGUUCGGAAUUACUGGGCGUAAAGCGCGCGUAGGCGGCGAUUCAAGUCAGAGGUGAAAUCCCAGGGCUCAACCCUGGAAUUGCCUUUGAAACUAAAUCGCUAGAAUAUCGGAGGGGAUAGCGGAAUUCCUAAUGUAGCAGUGAAAUGCGUAGAUAUUAGGAGGAACACCUGCGGUGUAGACGGCUUUCUGGACCAUUGCUGACGCUGAGACACGAAAGCGUGGGUAGCAAACAGG
rnacentral:rRNA from 1 species